UACGAAGGGGGCUAGCGUUGUUCGGAUUUACUGGGCGUAAAGCGCACGUAGGCGGAUCGUUAAGUCGGGGGUGAAAUCCUGGAGCUCAACUCCAGAACUGCCUUUGAUACUGAGAGCCUUGAGUUCGGGAGAGGUGAGUGGAACUGCGAGUGUAGAGGUGAAAUUCGUAGAUAUUCGGAAGAACACCAGUGGCGAAGGCGGCUCACUGGUCCGGUACUGGACGCUGAGGUGCGAAAGCGUGGGGAGCAAACAGG
rnacentral:rRNA from 1 species